GACCAUGCGUCAUACAAUAUAAAGCGGAUGCCGACAGUGCUGGAACAAUUCCACGUUGCGCCGACAGCUGCUGUUGUCCCCUCGGAAAGAUCCAGACACACUUCGUGGAUCACACUGCCACUUCUCAUUCCAUUAUAAAAAUGCAUGUCGGCUACGGAUUCCUCAUGUUGGUCCUCCUUAUAGUGACCAUGUUCAUGGCAGAAGGAGAGGCCUGCGAUGCUGCUAAGUUAGCCAUGAGUGCAGCAUGUAGUGUGUUCGGGCGUGAAGAAAAACUUCCUCGUGUACGACUCCAGUGAUAAAUGGCUCACCAUUGACCCGACUGCGGCGUCGUUUGGCACAAUGUUUGUUGAAUAAACAACGUUACGCUGCUCGCAA